AUGCCUACUUUCUCCCUUAAGAAAACAAAUAGGCAAGUAAAAGACAAACAAGGAAGGAUAAGCAGCAGAGAAACUAAGAAGGAGCAUGAGACACGCACGCACUUCCUUGUCUGGGCGCUGGGACUCUGGCUCGAACCUGUACAGUUUCUCCAGGACUUUUAUCACGAAGAGAUGCUGGAUUUUAUCAAAGACACAAAGGGGAAUGGUCCAGAUCCACAAGCUUGUCAAAAACAACAGAGGUAUAAGGUCAUAGAAUUCAUGUCCACCUUGCAGUCUGCUUCUCACCCACUGCCCUUUGGAAAGCCAAUUCCUUCCUCCUGUUCACGUGCUGUUGGUACUCUAUGUUCUGCCUGCCUUCCAAGAGUUCAUAGAGUUUGUUCACAGAGUGUUUACCCUGUGUUGUCUCAGCUGCUGAGAAAUGGUGUCUUCUGCACCAGGGGCCGAAACACCACCUUUGUAGUACUUUUCUUCUCAGCUCUGAGUUUUGUGGAGAUCAGACUUCCUUCCUGA
ensembl:processed_transcript E230016K23Rik RIKEN cDNA E230016K23 gene